rnacentral:rRNA from 1 species
CUUCCUACGGGAGGCAGCAGUGAGGAAUAUUGGUCAAUGGGCGAGAGCCUGAACCAGCCAAGUCGCGUGAGGGAAGACGGCCCUAUGGGUUGUAAACCUCUUUUGUCGGAGAACAAAACCCGGGACGUGACCCGGACUGCGUGUAUCCGAAGAAAAAGCAUCGGCUAAUUCCGUGCCAGCAGCCGCGGUAAUACGGAGGAUGCGAGCGUUAUCCGGAUUUAUUGGGUUUAAAGGGUGCGUAGGCGGUCCGUUAAGUCAGCGGUAAAAU